AAUUUAUUGAUCUUGCUAACUCAAUCGACCAAACCGUCCAAUUGUCGUAAAUAAGAAAUAAUAUUCUCUCACUCAACUCUCUCUCACUCAAUUCUCUCUCUCACUCAAUUCAUUUUCCUCAGUUCUGGUAUUUUUGUUCAGUUGGUUGUGGUUAGGGUUUUGUUCAGUUGGUUGCUAAGCAUCAUCGCCGUCUUCAAGUAUCACCGCCGCUUCUUUAUCAGGUUUGGGAUGGCCAAUGUGUAUGUUUCCAAAUCUGUUCUUUUAUAAUGUGAACAGAAAUUCAUCAAAUAUGUAUGUUAUUUGUAUGCAGAUCUAGAAUGUGUUUAUAGAUUUUGCAUUCUGUUAAGUUGAAGGGAAUCACUAGAUUUUGAGUUAGGAAUCUGUAAAUAUCUAAUGGCUGUUGCUAGAGGUGAUGAUUGACUUGGUGCACAUGUAUAUAUCUUUUAUGAAUGGGAUCAAAUCAGUAAGGUAUUGCAGAUUCAUUAUUUCCUCUUGGAGGGUGCACUGAGUGGUUGAUGCAAGAGUCUUUUGGAAAACUAUGCUGAUAAUAGUCGUUUGGAGAGGUUGAGCACUUUAAAUUGUUUUGACAAAGAGUGGUUGAUUACAUUCAUGGCCAUGGCAUGGCCAUGAUGGAUGCAUUGUAGUUGUUCCUGCCCCAGAUGCCAUAAAGAUAUUAGGAAAAGAAGCUACACAUGAUGAAUUGAGAAUACUUGGGGCUUUUCAAUACAUAUACAGGUGUGGAUAAUUUUCUCAGAUGAUCUAUUGAUUUACCUUUCCAUAAUCAUUAAAGUUGAUUCACAAGAUUGGCUCAACAUUGGAUCUCCUUAAUUGUGAUUUUUUUGGAUUUGCUUUCUUGAUGUCAAAUUGAAUCUUCUCUCUCAUAAAGUGCAUUGGAACUCACCAUAACGUAUGUGCUUUUGAAUGUGAAAAGUCUAUCUUUUUCAUAUGAUUGCCGAAUAUUAUUCUAACAAAUUAUGUCUAAUGGAGGAUAAGAUUAAUGCCUUGAGAAAUGGUUCUUAUUGCUUUUCAUUCUUUUGGUUAAGCCCUAAAAAAUUUUCAUGUUUUACAAUUACUGCCUCUACUCCCAUAUGUUUAACAAAUAAGGUAGUGCAGAUUCAUUAUUUCCUCUUGGAGGGUGCACUGAGUGGUUGAUUACAUUCUUCAACAUGGCCAUGGCUGUUGGAGUAGUGUUCCCAUUAAUGCAGGUUUGUUUGGGUUUGAUAGGAUGACUUUGGAAAGUUUGAAGAUUGAAAAUUUGUAUAUUGAAGAAGAAAUGAUUUCUUUCUAAUGUAUUAGAUAGAUUUUUUUAUUAUUAUUUAAGUAAGGUUGUAAAUUAUU